AUCCACAAUUGCUCUUUACCCUGGUGUCAGAUAAGCUUCAGGUGAAAGAGCCAGGAACAUCACAUGACUCACAAGAAAAGACAGAGGAUAAACACUUUUUCUGAACUAGCCCUACAAUGCAUUGAACUUCGAGGGAAGGUCUGAAGAAGAGGUUGCUCUGGCAGAUCAUCCUCAUGAAAGAUAACGGCACACAGGAGAGAAAGGACGAGAGCUAAAUAUUUCUUUAUUUGCUUGGAUACCUGGGAAGAAGCACAGAGAAGGCAGAACUCGCUCCUCGCUCUGCAGUGAUGUAUUGACAGACCUUGGGCUAAAGCGUGGUAGCUCCAGCUCCAUACCAAUUAGCCUCAGCAAAUAUUCGGGUCAAGGUGACCUGUCAGAGGAGUUCACAAAGGAGUCUCUGCAGAAGCCGCGCGUUACCUUGUACAGCACUUGCUCGCUCUGCUACAUUUAUCGUGUAUGUGCUGGAAAAGCCACUCGAACGCUGUGUAACAAGCUCAGCUGAAUGCUUCUCUGCCAAGGAUCAAGCUACACCGCACAGCAGGAUGAAUUCUGGCUCUUAGCAAAGCAAAGUGCGGCAGCACCAUCUGAUUGCUCUUCUGCAAAAAGGACCACUUGAGAGCACAACGCUCUCUCCACUGCUGUGACUCAGGACCAGCACAACCACUUGAGCAAAAACUGUUCAAAACGAAGACAGUUGGGGGAAUGGUAUCUACAGAAGAAAUAGAAGCCAGACCACUGCUAUAAAUGUGUACUGAAGAAAACAGCUCCUUCUAUUUGCACCAUGUAAGGACCCAGCAUUUUGUAUUCUGGCAAGACAUCAAAAAAUUUCCUUCCUGUGAAUCGUCUACAACCUGAAAGAGAGAUGUCUCAGAAACAUGUGCCUGCUUCCAAAUA
rnacentral:lncRNA from 1 species